rnacentral:rRNA from 1 species
CUACGGGACGCAGCAGUGGGGAAUAUUGGACAAUGGGGGAAACCCUGAUCCAGCAAUGCCGCGUGUGUGAAGAAGGCCUGCGGGUUGUAAAGCACUUUCGGUUGGGAGGACUGCUUCUAGCACUAAUAUUGUUGGAAGUUGACGUUACCUUCAGAAGAAGCACGCGGCUAACUCCGUGCCAGCAGCCGCGGUAAUACGGAGGGUGCAUGCGUUAAUCGGAAUUACUGGGCGUAAAGCGCGCGUAGGCGGCUAGAUCAGUCGGGUGUGAAAGCCCCGGGCUUAACCUGGGAACUGCAUCCGAUACUGUCUAGCUUGAGUACAGGAGAGGAGAGUGGAAUUCCACAUGUAGCGGUGAAAUGCGUAGAUAUGUGGAGGAACACCAAUGGCGAAGGCAGCUCUCUGGCCUGAUACUGACGCUGAGGUGCGAAAGCGUGGGGAGCAAACAGGAUUAGAUACCCCCGUAGUC